rnacentral:lncRNA from 13 species
UAUUCUUAUCACAGCACUAUUCACAACAGCCAAGAAACUUAAGUUCCUUCAGUGGAUGAUUGGAUGAAGAAAAUGUGGAUUACACAUGAAUCGUAUAUGUGAGGCACUCUAUACCUUCUUCUUUUUUUUUUACCAAAGUCACCUUCAUAAUGGAUGAUAACACAGAACAAGGCAUAACAAGUACUGUUUUUAAAGGAGUUACAUUCAAAUGAGGGAAGAUGUACAAUGAAAACAUG